rnacentral:rRNA from 1 species
UACGUAGGAGGCAAGCGUUGUCCGGAAUUACUGGGUGUAAAGCGCGCGUAGGUGGCUUCGUAAGUCCGUUGUGAAAGUCAAAGGCUCAACCUUUGAAAGCCGAUGGAUACUGCGGAGCUAGAGUACGGAAGAGGCGAGUGGAAUUCCUGGUGUAGCGGUGGAAUGCGCAGAUAUCAGGAGGAACACCAAUAGCGAAGGCAGCUCGCUGGGACGUUACUGACACUGAGGCGCGAAAGCGUGGGGAGCGAACAGG